rnacentral:rRNA from 1 species
ACGGGUGAGUAACGCGUGGGAACGCACCUUUUGGUUCGGAACAACACAGGGAAACUUGUGCUAAUACCGGAUAAGCCCUUACGGGGAAAGAUUUAUCGCCGAAAGAUCGGCCCGCGUCUGAUUAGCUAGUUGGUGAGGUAAUGGCUCACCAAGGCGACGAUCAGUAGCUGGUCUGAGAGGAUGAUCAGCCACACUGGGACUGAGACACGGCCCAGACUCCUACGGGAGGCAGCAGUGGGGAAUAUUGGACAAUGGGCGCAAGCCUGAUCCAGCCAUGCCGCGUGAGUGAUGAAGGCCCUAGGGUUGUAAAGCUCUUUUGUGCGGGAAGAUAAUGACGGUACCGCAAGAAUAAGCCCCGGCUAACUUCGUGCCAGCAGCCGCGGUAAUACGAAGGGGGCUAGCGUUGCUCGGAAUCACUGGGCGUAAAGGGUGCGUAGGCGGGUCUUUAAGUCAGGGGUGAAAUCCUGGAGCUCAACUCCAGAACUGCCUUUGAUACUGAAGAUCUUGAGUUCGGGAGAGGUGAGUGGAACUGCGAGU